GACGUAGGUGGCAAGCGUUACUCGGAAUUACUAGGCGUAAAGCGCGCGUAGGCGGAAUGUUAAGUUUGUUGUGUAAUCUCCGGGCUCAACUCGGAAACUGCAACAAAAACUGGCGUUCUUGAGUGAGGCAGAGGAAGAUGGAAUUCCUGGUGUAGCAGUGAAAUGCGUAGAUAUCAGGAGGAACACCGGUGGCGAAGGCGGUCUUCUGGGCCUUUACUGACGCUGAAGCACGAAAGCUAGGGGAGCAAACGGGAUUAGAUACCCCGGUAGUCCUAGCCGUAAACGAUGAUAACUAGGUGUGGGAGGUAUCGACCCCUUCCGUGCCGACGCUAACGCAUUAAGUUAUCCGCCUGGGGAGUACGGCCGCAAGGUUAAA
rnacentral:rRNA from 1 species